rnacentral:rRNA from 1 species
AGUGAACGCUGGCGGCGUGCUUAACACAUGCAAGUCGAACGAGAACGGGUUAUAGCUUGCUAUAAUUGUCAGCUAAGUGGCGCACGGGUGAGUAAUGUAUAGGUAAUAUGCCUCUUACUAAGGGAUAACAAAUGGAAACGUUUGCUAAUACCUUAUACUCCUUAUUAACAGAAGUUAAUAAGGGAAAGAUUUAUUGGUAAGAGAUUAGCCUGUAUUGUAUCAGUUAGUUGGUGGGGUAAUGGCCUACCAAGACUAUGACACAUAACUGGUUUGAGAGGAUGAUCAGUCACACUGGAACUGAGACACGGUCCAGACUCCUACGGGAGGCAGCAGUGGGGAAUAUUGCACAAUGGACGAAAGUCUGAUGCAGCAACGCCACGUGGAGGAUGACACAUUUCGGUGCGUAAACUCCUUUUAUAUGAGAAGAUAAUGACGGUAUUAUAUGAAUAAGCACCGGCUAACUCCGUGCCAGCAGCCGCGGUAA